rnacentral:ncRNA from 1 species
AAAAAGUUUGAUUUUUGUUUGAAAAAUUAGGUUUUAUUUUAAUUUAAAUGUAAAUUUUUGUUUAAUCUUGAAAAGAUAAUUUUGCAAUAAAUAAUAUUAAAUAUUAAAGAAAUUUAGAUUUAGUAAUAAUAAAUAAUAUUAACUAAAUUUGUGCCAGCAGUUGCGGUUAUACAAAUAAUAUGAUUUAAUUUGAUUAGUUUUAAUUAAUUAUUAAUAUAUAAUUUUAAUAAAAAAUUUAUAAAGUGAAAUUUAAAAUUUUUACUAAAAAUUAUUAGGUUUUUAUGAAGUUAAAAAAUUUAAUUUAUAGACUAGGAUUAGAUACCCUAUUAUUUUAAAUGUACUAAAAAAAAUUAAGUUAGUAUUAGUUAUGUUCUUGAAAUUUAAAAAUUUUGGCGGUAUUUUAGUCUUUUCAGAGGAACCUGUUCUAUAAUUGAUAGUCCACGAUUUAAUUUACUUUUUUUAAAAAUUUAUAUAUCAUCGUAAUUUGAAUAUUUUAUAAGAAUUUCAAUAUUCAAAAUUUAUUAUAAUAAAAUAAAUCAGAUCAAGGUGUAGUUUAUAAAAAAGAGGAAAUGGGUUACAAUAAAUAAAUUUAAGGAUUUUUAUUUUUAAAAUAAUUUGAAUUUGGAUUUGAAAGUAAUUUAAAUAAAUUUAUUAUUAUGGUUUAGCUCUAAAAUAUGUACAUAUUGCCCGUCGCUUUCAUUAUAAUAUGGGAUAAGUCGUAACAAAGUAGGUUUACUGGAAAGUGAAUCUAGAUAGUU